rnacentral:rRNA from 1 species
UACGGAGGAUCCAAGCGUUAUCCGGAUUUAUUGGGUUUAAAGGGUGCGUAGGUGGCUUUUUAAGUCAGGGGUGAAAGACGGUAGCUUAACUAUCGCAGUGCCUUUGAUACUGAAGAGCUUGAAUACACUAGAGGUAGGCGGAAUGUGACAAGUAGCGGUGAAAUGCAUAGAUAUGACACAGAACACCAAUUGCGAAGGCAGCUUACUAUGGUGCAAUUGACACUGAGGCACGAAAGCGUGGGGAUCAAACAGG